UCUAAGAGUUUGAUCCUGGCUCAGAAUAAACGCUGUUUAUAUGCAUAACACAUGCAAGUUUAAUGUUAUAUUUUAGCAUAGCGCACGGGUGUAUAACGUAUAAGAAUUUGCUUUAAAGAUUGAACAAGUUAAUUUUUAAUUAAUUUCAAAUAUUCAAAAGAGAAAAUCGCUUUAAAUUGAGCUUAUAUAGGAUUAGGUAGUUGGUUUUAAGGUAAAAGCUUACCAAGCCGAUAAUCCUUAAUUGAU
rnacentral:rRNA from 11 species